rnacentral:rRNA from 1 species
AGUGAACGCUGGCGGUAGGCCUAACACAUGCAAGUCGAACGGCAGCACAGUAAGAGCUUGCUCUUACGGGUGGCGAGUGGCGGACGGGUGAGGAAUACAUCGGAAUCUACUUUUUCGUGGGGGAUAACGUAGGGAAACUUACGCUAAUACCGCAUACGACCUACGGGUGAAAGCAGGGGAUCUUCGGACCUUGCGCGAUUGAAUGAGCCGAUGUGGGAUUAGCUAGUUGGCGGGGUAAAGGCCCACCAAGGCGACGAUCCGUAGCUGGUCUGGGAGGAUGAUCAGCCACACUGGAACUGGGACACGGUCCAGACUCCUAAGGGAGGCAGCAGUGGGGAAUAUUGGACAAUGGGCGCAAGCCUGAUCCAGCCAUACCGCGUGGGUGAAGAAGGCCUUCGGGUUGUAAAGCCCUUUUGUUGGGAAAGAAAAGCAGCAGGUUAAUACCCCGCUGUUCUGACGGUACCCAAAGAAUAAGCACCGGCUAACUUCGUG